rnacentral:lncRNA from 1 species
CAAGAGGGCUUCCAUAUGUUUUUUGGAACAAGCAUAGUGUUGGAGGGAAGGUUCGGUGCAACUUCUCCUCAACCACCUCUUGGACGCAAUUGACCCAGCGGUGAUCAUGUCUGAAUCUUGACGAUCAUUACCUACAAGCUUAGGAGGUGUGUUAAGAUAUCCAACUAACUCUUUCAGUGUAUGUAGCAUCUUCUUGACCC